AUGCACUCGCGGCUCUGGCGUCA
rnacentral:siRNA from 1 species